rnacentral:rRNA from 1 species
ACGCCCGCUCAGAACUACAAAGGAAUGACGGGACCCGCACAAGCGGUGGAUGAUGUGGUUUAAUUCGAUGCAACGCGAAAACCUUACCCACCUUUGACAUGUACGGAACUUGCCAGAGAUGGCUUGGUGCUCGAAAGAGAGCCGUAACACAGGUGCUGCAUGGCUGUCGUCAGCUCGUGUCGUGAGAUGUUGGGUUAAGUCCCGCAACGAGCGCAACCCUUGUCAUUAGUUGCUACAUUCAGUUGGGCACUCUAAUGAGACUGCCGGUGACAAGCCGGAGGAAGGUGGGGAUGACGUCAAGUCCUCAUGGCCCUUAUAGGUGGGGCUACACACGUCAUACAAUGGCCGGUACAAAGGGACGCCAACCCGCGAGGGGGAGCCAAUCCAAUAAAGCCGGUCGUAGUCCGGAUCGCAGUCUGCAACUCGACUGCGUGAAGUCGGAAUCGCUAGUAAUCGUGAAUCAGAAUGUCACGGUGAAUACGUUCCCGGGCCUU